AAGUUUUCAUAUACGUUUGUUCUAUAUGAUACCUCCAAAAAAAUUAAGGAGUGCCAGCUCCAAGGGAGAUGAGGGAGUCCUGUGGGUGAUCAUGUUGACAGAAGGACUAACAGACCUGGCAGAGGUGAAAGCAGUGGUGAGAGGAAUUAGCACGCAAUGAAGGAAGAAGAAACAUAAAAAAUUACGUAUAUCACGGAGGAUCCUGGAAGACUGCAAAAUAUAAACACGCAACCUGAGAGCCAAAUUAGGGAAGAUAUACAUUUUAUUCAACGUGGGAUUUCAGGUUGGCAGGAAACCCACCCAUAGGCCUCUAAGAUAUCAAAGGACUGAAACUUACCAGAUCACUGCCCAAUAUACAUCAAGUAGAAGGAGACAGUCUCUAAAUUUAGAAAACACCAAGAGGGGCAGGCAAUGACUCACACCUAUAGUUGGGUCCUGGAUGCUACAGUGAGCAAUGUUGGAGACAGGAUCCCAGAGUGAGCCCAAAUAAACACAUGACGUGUACUGCGAGGUGAACACCCAACAUCACACAGCUGGUGAGUGGCUUUCUAGAUUCAAAGUUCUGCUAUGUAGUAUUGCAGAAAUGAAUAAAUCUGGCUUCCACUAUGA